UUAUUUCUACCAAGCCUGCACCUGAAAUUACAUUUUACCAACAUUCAAGUCUUGUAACUAUGAGAUGUGUGUUGUCUUUGAAGAAUAGAUUUACAAAGUUCUCAUUUCAUUGCUAAAGCUUCUUGAGCUUAUUUGGAGAGAACAAACAUCUUGAGGCCUAAUCAGGUGCUAUCCAAAUCUAGGAUUCAACCUCUUGGAGCAGGCUUUGGGCACACCCAUUUACUCCCUUCUCACAGACUGAAGGGCAUGAGGGUUCAUGUUUUGUAUGAUCAUGGGAUCUACCUGACCUUAUAAGACAAGUGAGCUCUGCCUCACAGGCUCAGAGAUCCUUUGUUAGAACAAACAUAGGAUCUCCCAUUCACUAGCUGUUGUCUGUUCACAUUGAGGGAAGCUGGGGAAGGCUGUGGGAUGCAGCAUGAGCCCAAGGCCUGCUCCUAAUAUCACCCCAGGUGGAAUCCUGGAAAGAAAGAAAAAACAGUACUCUAACAGGCCUUGUGUCGUGAAAGAGAUCUAUCCAUUCUUAAAGUGAAAGACACAGAUUUUAAAGACACAUGGUAUUAAGAUGAAUGUUGGCAAAAUGUAACACCAAAAACAUUGUUAGUAAUUUCGAGAACAGGUAAAACAUGGCCAGAUAUCACACACCUGUUUCUUUAAGGAACCUUUGUGAGUUGCUAAGCCUUAAUUUUUGUAUUACAAAGCACCAUCAUUGUAAAUCCCCCAUAUCAUAUAGCUAGCAUUUUAGUAAUCAUUUUUGGCACACACAAGGCUACAGUUAGACAUGUAGAAUAUCACUACAGCUGUAACUUAGGCCAGCCAAAUAAGUUCUUCAAAAAUCAAUUUGUUGCAAAAGCACAUAUAUCACAAUGUACACCUACUUUAAAGGAACUACAUAAAGGACAAAGAUAAAUAAAUGAAAAGAGGAAUGGACUGGGAUUUUUAUAAAUAUGCACAAAUGCAGGGAUGCAGAUUAGAAAGCAGGUUACAAUCACUAACAGAUUACAACUUGCUUCAAAAAUCUCUAUACGGGUUGUAGAUCUAUUUUUAGUAAAGUUUCUAGAUGCUAAUAGUGGGGUGUUUUUAAAGAUAUAUAUUUAGUUUGGUAAGAAAAUAGGACAAGUCAAAAAGUACUUUUGGGUUUUUUGUUUAGACGACCAAUCCCCAUGGGCUGUUAUAAUAUCUAAAGAUGCUGUCCUGCUAAGCUCAAUCACAUUUUAAGGUCCUAUUGAUUUCAGUGGGAGAACAGAACACAAGCUUAACUUCCCCCCACUGAGAUUAGUGCUUAACCUUGCCUGAAUCAUGCUUUCAUCUUCCUUUACACCGUGUCUCCCAGUGAACAAGAGAGUCAUAAAUUUCACAGAGACAACAGUCAGAAACCAUGAAUCCCAUGGUGCUGAUCCAUCUGCUUCCUCCAAGGGAGCAAGUGGCUUGCAGCUUCCAGUCAGGAGCCAUUCUUCUAAAGGUAAUUAUUGCAGGACCACUAGGCCUGGGAUACCCGAGCAAAGGAUUUGCUGGGUCUCAGUUGCCUAUUGGGUAUUGGGAGGAGGGAUGGACAGGCAAGGCAGUGUGGUUAGCUGUAUUAAAGAGGAUUAAAAAUACUGUCUAGCUGGAACUAAGGAAGUGGAAGGAAAAUAGCUUCUCUGCUGCUCCUCACCUAGAUGAAUAGCAAUGGGUAUAAUCAAGGGAUCUCCUUCAAAACCUCAUGCGUGCAUCCAGUGUUCUGUUUCUCUCUGGGUGUACAAGCUAUUCCCACAAAGAGGAGAGGGCAGAAUGUUGGGGUCUCUGUGUGAAGCAAGCAUGCAGGAGCUCCCCAUGAUUGAUAAAAGGUGCUUUGCUGUGUGCAAAGCAGAAGACAUAGUAUAUCUAAGUCUAGUGAAGAGUGAGGACAGAGGGACAGAGGCUAGGUUCAUAUUGUUCCAAGCACAUGUUAUUGGCUUCAUUUAUUUGGUUUAGUAAAUCUUUUUUGUGAUACCAUAUAUCUUUAAUGGAUAAGAAUUCUGAUUAUAAUAAAAAGUAAAAUAAAAGACAGUGUUUAUAUUACCUCAUCAUCUUGAUCUGACUCUGUUUCCUUUUGGUCCCAAGAUGCAUUGCAGAGACAAGGAAUAUUAUAAUGGACAGCAGGGAAAAGAAUAUCAGGAUAUGAAAAGGACCAAGACUCAUGGACAAUGUGAAAGUAAGUUCACACAUUCCACUACUUGUCCGUCAUGCCUAGGUCUACCAGGAAGAAAGGGGGUAAGCAAUGCCCCGGUUCUGGAAGACAUCAGCUGAAUUACACUAGCAUCUUACUCCAUUCAAAUUAAAUAAAUCAUUUUUAACAGAUAGA